AGUCGAUGGGAAACGGGUUAAUAUUCCCGUACUUCUUACAAUUGCGAUGGGGGGACGGAGAAGGCUAGGUGGGCCUGGCGACGGUUGUCCAGGUUCAAGUGCGUAGGCUGAAGAGUUAGGUAAAUCCGGCUCUUUCUAAGGCUGAGACACGACGUCGAGCACCUACGGGUGUGAAGUCAUUGAUGCCAUGCUUCCAGGAAAAGCCUCUAAGCUUCAGAUUG
rnacentral:rRNA from 1 species